rnacentral:lncRNA from 1 species
UUGCCAACAAACAUUUCUCUACUUCUCAAUGAUGACUAUGGAAUGGUAAAAGUUUGAAGAUACCUGAAUUUUCACAGUCAGCUGGGUUAUCUCAGAGAGAUACUUUCCCUAGUGAGUGUUCUUAACACCUUCUUGAGUGGAAGGAAACAAUGCUUUUGAAGUGACAUUCCACGAUGAAUUCCUUCUACUUCUAGAGAGAGUGAACGUUUUCAGUCAAAGAAGUUUUUGUGAGGAUCAAACGAAAUAGUGCCCACAAUGCACAGUGACUGCGUACAUAUAGGUAAGCAAAUGUCGACUGCUACCGAAGUCUCUUGAGCCCUGGCAUCUGCCUGGUUGACCAGCCGUAGACUGAUGCCUAGAUCUGAUGCUUUGUAUAGGGAGUGGCUUGAUUCCUAAGUAAAGGCCUUGACAUGCAGAAGUUGAUUCUCUUUGUGGAGAUCAGAGGUUCUCACACAGUGAGCUGGUGCUGGGCUCACCACCCCUUGCUGAAGUUUUUUGUUGUUAUUGUUUUUUUUUUUAAAUUUUUUUUGAGAUGGAGCCUCAAUCUGUCAUCCAGGCUGGAGUGCAGUGGCGUGAUCUUGGCUCAUUGCAACCUCAGCCUCCCGG